GACGAACGCUGGCGGCGUGCCUAAUACAUGCAAGUAGAACGCUGAAGAGAGGAGCUUGCUCUUCUUGGAUGAGUUGCGAACGGGUGAGUAACGCGUAGGUAACCUGCCUUGUAGCGGGGGAUAACUAUUGGAAACGAUAGCUAAUACCGCAUAACAAUGGAUGACACAUGUCAUUUAUUUGAAAGGGGCAAUUGCUCCACUACAAGAUGGACCUGCGUUGUAUUAGCUAGUAGGUGAGGUAACGGCUCACCUAGGCGACGAUACAUAGCCGACCUGAGAGGGUGAGCGGCCACACUGGGACUGUGACACGGCCCAGACUCCUACGGGAGGCAGCAGUAGGGAAUCUUCGGCAAUGGGGGCAACCCUGACCGCGCAACGCCGCGUGAGUGAAGAAGGUUUUCGGGUCGUGAAGCUCUGUUGUAAGUCAAGAACGAGUGUGAGAGUGGAAAGUUCACACUGUGACGGUAGCUUACCAGAAAGGGACGGCUAACUACGUG
rnacentral:rRNA from 1 species